rnacentral:rRNA from 1 species
UUAUAGAGUUAGAUCGUGGCUCAGGAUGAACGGGGGGGGCGUGCUACACACAUGCAAGUCGAACGAUGAAGCCAGCUUGAUGGUGGAUUAGUGGCGAACGGGUGAGUAACACGUGAGUAACCUGCCCUUGACUCUGGGAUAAGCCUGGGAAACUGGGUCUAAUACCGGAUAUGACCUUCCAUCGCAUGGUGGUUGGUGGAAAGCUUUUGUGGUUUUGGAUGGACUCGCGGCCUAUCAGCUUGUUGGUGAGGUAAUGGCUUACCAAGGCGACGACGGGUAGCCGGCCUGAGAGGGUGACCGGCCACACUGGGACUGAGACACGGCCCAGACUCCUACGGGAGGCAGCAGUGGGGAAUAUUGCACAAUGGGCGCAAGCCUGAUGCAGCGACGCCGCGUGAGGGAUGACGGCCUUCGGGUUGUAAACCUCUUUCAGUAGGGAAGAAGCCGCGAGGUGACGUACUGCAGAAAGAAGCGCCGGGCUAACUACGUGCCAGCAGCCGCGGUAAUACGUAGGGCGCAAGCGUUAUCCGGGAAUUAUUGGGCGUAAAGAGCUCGUAGGCGGUUUGUCGCGUCUGCCGUGAAAGUCCGGGGCUCAACUCCGGAUCUGCGGUGGGUACGGGCAGACUAGAGUGAUGUAGGGGAGACUGGAAUUCCUGGUGUAGCGGUGAAAUGCGCAGAUAUCAGGAGGAACACCGAUGGCGAAGGCAGGUCUCUGGGCAUUAACUGACGCUGAGGAGCGAAAGCAUGGGGAGCGAACAGGAUUAGAUACCCUGGUAGUCCAUGCCGUAAACGUUGGGCACUAGGUGUGGGGGACAUUCCACGUUUUCCGCGCCGUAGCUAACGCAUUAAGUGCCCCGCCUGGGGAGUACGGCCGCAAGGCUAAAACUCAAAGGAAUUGACGGGGGCCCGCACAAGCGGCGGAGCAUGCGGAUUAAUUCGAUGCAACGCGAAGAACCUUACCAAGGCUUGACAUGAACCGGACCGGGCUGGAAACAGUCUUUCCCCUUUGGGGCUGGUUUACAGGUGGUGCAUGGUUGUCGUCAGCUCGUGUCGUGAGAUGUUGGGUUAAGUCCCGCAACGAGCGCAACCCUCGUUCUAUGUUGCCAGCACGUGAUGGUGGGGACUCAUAGGAGACUGCCGGGGUCAACUCGGAGGAAGGUGGGGACGACGUCAAAUCAUCAUGCCCCUUAUGUCUUGGGCUUCACGCAUGCUACAAUGGCCGGUACAAAGGGUUGCGAUACUGUGAGGUGGAGCUAAUCCCAAAAAGCCGGUCUCAGUUCGGAUUGGGGUCUGCAACUCGACCCCAUGAAGUCGGAGUCGCUAGUAAUCGCAGAUCA